GAGGAAUAUUGCGCAAUGGAGGCAACUCUGACGCAGCCAUGCCGCGUGCAGGAAGAAGGCGCUACGCGUUGUAAACUGCUUUUAACCGGGAAGAAACCCCAGGACGUGUCCUGGGUUGACGGUACCGGAGGAAUAAGCACCGGCUAACUUCGUGCCAGCAGCCGCGGUAAUACGAAGGGUGCAGGCGUUAUCCGGAUUCAUUGGGUUUAAAGGGUGCGUAGGCGGAGCGUUAAGUCAGUGGUGAAAUCCUGCAGCUUAACUGUAGACUUGCCAUUGAUACUGGCGCUCUUGAGUGCGCUUGAAGUAGGCGGAAUGUGCCGUGUAGCGGUGAAAUGCUUAGAUAUGGCACAGAACACCAAUUGCGAAGGCAGCUUACUAAGGCGAUACUGACGCUGAGGCACGAAAGCGUGGGGAGCGAAC
rnacentral:rRNA from 1 species